rnacentral:rRNA from 1 species
CCUUCGGGGUACUCGAGCGGCGAACGGGUGAGUAACACGUGAGCAACCUGCCCCAGGCUUUGGGAUAACCCCGGGAAACCGGGGCUAAUACCGAAUAUGACCUCUGACCGCAUGGUUGGUGGUGGAAAGUUUUUCGGCUUGGGAUGGGCUCGCGGCCUAUCAGCUUGUUGGUGGGGUGAUGGCCUACCAAGGCGACGACGGGUAGCCGGCCUGAGAGGGCGACCGGCCACACUGGGACUGAGACACGGCCCAGACUCCUACGGGAGGCAGCAGUGGGGAAUAUUGCACAAUGGGCGGAAGCCUGAUGCAGCGACGCCGCGUGAGGGAUGACGGCCUUCGGGUUGUAAACCUCUUUCAGCAGGGACGAAGCGUAAGUGACGGUACCUGCAGAAGAAGCGCCGGCCAACUACGUGCCAGCAGCCGCGGUAAGACGUAGGGCGCGAGCGUUGUCCGGAUUUAUUGGGCGUAAAGAGCUCGUAGGCGGCUUGUCGCGUCGACCGUGAAAACUUGGGGCUCAACCCCAAGCCUGCGGUCGAUACGGGCAGGCUAGAGUUC